CGGCGGAAGAAGAAUGUUUCUGAAAGAAGAGACAGCACGUGGUGAUAAUCCAGAAGAAUCUUUAUAUCUACUUGAGAGCACACUUCAUGCAGUGUAGGUACUGUAAAUACACCUGUGCCAGUCAAAAUCUGGUGCUGAGACACUACAGGCUCAAGCAUUGGCACCCAGACUGACGUGUAGCAUUGUUGUGCCUGUUCUCCAAGUGUGUCUGCACUUUCAAUACAGCAGGACACUGAUUUAGAGGAGACUUACGCAAAAGGAGAGAAACUGGGCAUCCUUGAAGUCACGGAGGAUGACCUCUCACAGGCAACAAAGAGGUCUAAACUUCAGCAUCAUCCUGGAG